GACGUAGGGCGCGAGCGUUGUCCGGAUUUAUUGGGCGUAAAGAGCUCGUAGGCGGCUUGUUACGUCGACUGUGAAAACCCGCGGCUCAACUGCGGGCCUGCAGUCGAUACGGGCAGGCUAGAGUUCGGUAGGGGGAGACUGGAAUUCCUGGUGUAGCGGUGAAAUGCGCAGAUAUCAGGAGGAACACCGGUGGCGAAGGCGGGGUCUCUGGGCCGAUACUGACGCUG
rnacentral:rRNA from 1 species